CAUACGUGAAAGGAGGCAGAAGGAACAAAAGGGAUUUUGGAAAGAGGAGCAGAGUCGGAGAGCAGUAACCUAAAAAGUUGUUGGAAUCACCAACCUUGAUGCAAAUUUAAGAGAUAUGUAGGACUUCGGUCCAGUGAUGGUCUGAUUCAGAGAGGGACUAUGACGGCCUCACAUCCAAAAAGGGACAUGGUUCAGAGCGAUAGCAGAGACAUGGGAAUAUUAGUAACAUACCUGUGAUCCCAGUGAUUUUGGUACCACAUACAUUUGAGAUGGAGAUUUGGCAUUACAUUCGCAUUAUGAGCUAUUUGAUUUUAUUUGAGUGUGAUUGAGAAUAUUAUUAUAUUCGUUAUUACUAUCCUGUUUUGUUGAA